UACGUAGGGAGCAAGCGUUGUCCGGAAUCAUUGGGCGUAAAGAGCGCGUAGGUGGCUUUAUAAGUCCGUUGUGAAAGUCAAAGGCUCAACCUUUGAAAGCCGAUGGAUACUGUAGAGCUAGAGUACGGAAGAGGCGAGUGGAAUUCCUGGUGUAGCGGUGGAAUGCGCAGAUAUCAGGAGGAACACCAAUAGCGAAGGCAGCUCGCUGGGACGUUACUGACACUGAGGCGCGAAAGCGUGGGGAGCGAACAGG
rnacentral:rRNA from 1 species